UACGUAGGUGGCAAGCGUUGCUCGGAAUCAGCUGGGCGUAAGCGCACGUAGGCGGCUUUUAAGUUAGGGGUGAAAUCCCUGGAGCUCAACUCCAGAACUGCCUUUGAUACUGAGAGCUUGAGUCCGGGAGAGGUGAGUGGAACUGCGAGUGUAGAGGUGAAAUUCGUAGAUAUUCGCAAGAACACCAGUGGCGAAGGCGGCUCACUGGCCCGGUACUGACG
rnacentral:rRNA from 1 species